AAGAUGGGGCAAAAAGGGGGGGGCAAGUAUGCAAAUAACCUCACAAGCUCAAAACGCACAGAUCAUAGCACCCCAAACGGUGCCGUUUAAAAUGUAGUACAAAAGCCAUUUUUUUGAACCAAAAUUCAUUUGGUUUCUGCCAUUUUAGAAAUAGAAUGUGGCAACCCUUUUUCCCCAAUCUGCUAGGGCUUUCACCCUAUUUUGGUGCACCAAAAAUAGAGGGUCAUCGGCACCCCCAUGCCGUCGCCUCCGGUGCCUAUCCACGACGAACCCAGGUGCGUGAUCGAGCGUGCCACUGAAGUGGCAUGGUGGAGAGGCACACGACACGGAGGGACGUGAGACGUAUGGCGUCUGAAAGCUUGCUUGUUGGCUGAAACGGCGCAGAGGGUUUGCUGGCUAACGACGGAAGGGCAUAGCUAGGGUUUCUUUGGUUGAAACCCUAAAACUUUGGGCCUAUCGGGCCCCUGUAUCUUGGGUCUGUAAAUCAGGCCCUUUUUUUAAUUUUAUUUUUAUACAUAUAUGGGCCUGGGCUAAAAAUUGGGUCUACACACAUCAUAGCUUCAAGGAAGUAUCACUCAACUUUAUUGUAUGUAUGCCUUAGACAUGUCUAGUUUCACAACCAUUUCAAUCAUUACAAAUGUUUUCAAACUCAACGAUUGAUAUGAUCUGUAAUAAGAUAUAUUGUUAUAAAAAUAUGUUAAUUUUUUGAAA